rnacentral:sRNA from 1 species
CGGUGCCCACUCCAACCUCUGCAUCAACCAGCUUGUACGCAAUGGGAAUGAGGCCCAGAAAGAGAAGUAUCUCCCGAAGCUGAUCAGUGGUGAGUACAUCGGAGCCCUGGCCAUGAGUGAGCCCAAUGCAGGCUCUGAUGUUGUCUCUAUGAAGCUCAAAGCGGAAAAGAAAGGAAAUCACUACAUCCUGAAUGGCAACAAGUUCUGGAUCACUAAUGGCCCUGAUGCUGACGUCCUGAUUGUCUAUGCCAAGACAGAUCUGGCUGCUGUGCCAGCUUCUCGGGGCAUCACAGCCUUCAUUGUGGAGAAGGGUAUGCCUGGCUUUAGCACCUCUAAGAAGCUGGACAAGCUGGGGAUGAGGGGCUCUAACACCUGUGAGCUAAUCUUUGAAGACUGCAAGAUUCCUGGUAAGUAGCACCGAGAAUCAGGGAGCCCCUCUCCUGACCCCCUUCCAGGCUGAUCUGGCUGUUCUCAAGUUGAGAAAGCCUCUGGGUUAGA